rnacentral:tRNA from 1 species
GGAAAGUUGUCUGAGUGGUCGAAAGAGCCGCACUCGAAAUGCGGUAUACGCGCAAGCGUAUCGGGGGUUCGAAUCCCUCACUUUCCG